CUUCAUUUUGUGUAGUGUCAACAUUUGCUCUAUUUUCAAUCAGUAAUUUCACAACCUCAAGAUGACCAUUUUGGGAUGCCACAUGAAGAGGUGUCCAUCCUUCAUUUUGUGUAGUGUCAACAUUUGCUCUAUUUUCAAUCAGUAAUUUCACAACCUCAAGAUGACCAUUUUGGGAUGCAAAAUGGAGAGGUGUCCAUCCUUCAUUGUCCGUAGUGUCAACAUUUGCUCUAUU